rnacentral:rRNA from 1 species
AGUGAACGUUGGCGGCGUGGAUUAGGCAUGCAAGUCGAGCGAGAACCGUAGCAAUACGGGGACAGCGGCGAAAGGGACAGUAAUGUGUAGGUACCUACCUCCGGGUUCGGGAUAGCUGCGGGAAACUGCAGGUAAUACCGAAUAACGUCUCCGGACCAAAGGUGUGAUUCCACCUGGAGGGGGGCCUGCAUCCUAUUAGCUAGUUGGGGAGGUAACGGCUCACCAAGGCGACGAUGGGUAGCGGGUGUGAGAGCACGACCCGCGUCAUUGGGACUGAGACACUGCCCAGACACCUACGGGUGGCUGCAGUCGAGGAUCUUCGGCAAUGGGCGCAAGCCUGACCGAGCGACGCCGCGUGCGGGAUGAAGGCCUUCGGGUUGUAAACCGCUGUCGUAGAGGAGGAAAUGCAGGGGGGUUCUCCCCUCUGUUUGACCUAUUCUAGGAGGAAGGACGGGCUAAGUUCGUGCCAGCCGCCGCGGUAA